UGUUUUUCGUUGUUGAGUUGAAGAGAAGAUCGUCUUCUGUGGGGAAUUUUUUCUAAAAAUUAAAAAAUCUGUUCUAUAUUUGAUAAUUUGAGGCAUGUCAGUUCUGGUAUUAUUUUCAAAUCAAAACUUUCCACAACGAAAUAUUGAAUUUCUCUUUAUUUAAAUGAUAGAUAUGGCUUCAGCUGACCCAGAUGUAACAAUUACGGUAUCUAGUAUUCUGAAUCUGGACAUAAAUUUACUCAUUAACGUACUUAAACAUGCCUAGUUCAAUUUCAGUUAUUUCUGAUGUUGAUUUAAUUGAGAGCAAAAGUGUAGCUGGCUCUGAAAGCGCAAUCAGUCAGGAUGGAUGUGCACGAUCUCGUAUGGACAUAGUGUGUGUCAUUGAUCUUCAUGUGCAGCAGAAUUUGGCCUCCAGAAAACGAGCUCUCGAAGAAGUGAAGCAAGCCUGCUCAUUGGUUAAUGCCAAUUGUCACUAUGUUCAGUUUGAAAAAUUGGAUUUCGGAGAGUCAAAUGUUCUCACGAUGUUCUACAAUGCGGAUGUUGCCAUCGUUGACCUGUCUUUACAACAUCAGCAAAGCGCUCUCUUCUACCACUUGGGCGUUAGAGAGAGUUUUGGCAUGAAAGAAAAUUUACUACUGUACACAGAUACUGAUCUUGAAACUACUUUGCGAUUAAAGCUAUCUUGUGGAGGUUAUACGUUCAUUUCGUACAAACUGAAUGAAUGCGGCUCGUGCGUCACCACCAGUCCAACGACAGCUCGCAUCCCAAGCAAAGACUCAGCAUUGGACCAUCAACACCAGUCCAUAAGUGUAACAGUCAUAUUGAAAAAACUUCUACAAGUUGUCGAAGUUCAAGCCAAAGUACAUAUAAAAGAGAAAUUCUUAACGGAUCUCAGGAAAGCACAAGAGACGUACACAGAUGAAGAAUUGUCGAAGGUACUCCACAAUUUGAGGAAGAGACUUGAUGAUCCCCAUGUCCUAUGCGGAGAAGUUGUUCUUAGUAUGUUGAUAUCCUUCAGAGACAUUCAGGAUUAUGAUGCAAUGGUACAAUUGGUUGAAGAUUUGAAAACCAUACCGAACAAGAAGAUUUAUAUUCAAACUCCAUAUAUCACGUUUCUUUAUCCUUUCGCAUUAAACAGGCGAAACAAAGAAGGCGACAGAGAAAAAGCGUUGAAAGUUAUCGAGCAUGCUUUGGAAAAGAAAGAGAACCAAAUACAAGAUAUGGUUUGUCUCUGCGGACGCAUUUACAAAGAUAUAUUCGUUGAGUCGCAAUACGAGGACAAAUCCAGUUUGAAGAAUGCCAUUCAUUGGUAUCGCAAAGGGUUCGAAGUGCAGCCUAAUGAAUAUGCCGGUAUAAAUCUGGCUACUUUGCUAGUCAUUGAAGGCAAUGAAUUCUCCAAAUCCGAAGAGCUUCAACACAUCGCUAUGGUAUUGAACAAUCUGAUUGGCAAGAAGGGAAGUCUGUCAUCGUUGCAAGACUACUGGGAUGUGGCCACAUUCUUCGAGAUCAGCGUGCUGGCCGAGGACUACGGCAAAGCAAUCCAGGCAGCUGAGUGCAUGUUCAAGCUCAAACCGCCCAACUGGUUUCUAAAAUCGACAAUAGGUAACAUAACACUAAUAGAUAAAUUUCGAAAGAAAGCUGAUGAAUCGGAGUCUUCACCCGAGGAGCAGAUUUUCGAAUUCUGGAUGGACUAUUUCAUUGAAGCUACAAAGACUGAAGUAACCGACAGUAUACGAUUCCCCAUUCUAGUCCUGGAACCGAGUAAAAUCUACAUGCCUAGCUACGUCAUUGUAAAUCUUGGAGCCGAAGAGAAAUCUAUUCAAAUUUGUAACUUAUGCAUGGACAACAUGCGCGGAAAAUGUCGACAAGUACACGAUUGGCUAUUCACUGCCAGCACUAUUAAAAGUGUCAGCUUGUACAAAAGAGAUGAACGAUGUUUAUUCUUGUAUGUUCAUCAGAACUCGGAUGAUUUUCAAAUGUUCUUUCCAUCGGUUCUAUGGAGACAAAUGUUCUACGAUUUAGUUCUGGAACUGACUGCCGACCAAGAAGGCAUAGUAACUGGACUGGAUUCAGAUCUCAGUAAUGAGCAGAUCAAAUUUGAGUAUGAACUCGAUGACCAAGGAAAGCGAAUUCUUCUGGGUAAAGGUACUUAUGGUGUUGUAUAUCAGGCGAGAGAUCUCAAUACACAAGUCAGAAUAGCAGUGAAGGAAAUUCCUGAGAAGAAUUUAGGUGAUGUUCAACCGUUGCACGAAGAAAUCAAACUUCACUCACAGCUUAGGCAUCGUAACAUUGUUCAGUAUCUUGGAUCAGUUUCCGAAGAUGGUUACUUCAAGAUAUUCAUGGAACAGGUGCCUGGAGGAAGCUUGUCUGCCCUUCUGAGAUCUAAAUGGGGACCAUUGAAAGAGAAUGAGUCCACAAUAUCAUUCUACACUAAACAAAUUUUAGAAGGAUUAAAAUAUCUGCACGAUCAAAAAAUAGUUCACAGAGAUAUUAAAGGUGAUAAUGUUUUGGUGAAUACGUACAGUGGUGUUGUCAAAAUAUCAGACUUUGGUACAUCCAAGAGAUUGGCUGGUUUAUGUCCAAGCACUGAAACAUUCACCGGGACUCUGCAAUAUAUGGCACCCGAGGUCAUUGACAAAGGGCAGAGAGGUUAUGGAGCACCGGCUGACAUCUGGUCCCUGGGCUGUACUAUUGUUGAAAUGGCCACCGGAAAACCACCAUUCAUCGAGCUGGGCUCGCCACAAGCAGCUGUUUUCAAAGUUGGAUACUACAAAGUGCACCCUGAAAUUCCCUCUGAGCUCUCUGAAAAAGCCAAGAGUUUCAUUUUACGCUGCUUCGAACCAGAUCCGAACAAAAGAGCAAUGGCUCCCAACCUUCUUGAAGACACCUUCCUAACCGAGAAGAAGAAAACAUCAAGGGCACUGAUAGCACCUCAAGAGUUUAGUCGAAGCAUCUCAGUUCCAAGUGAGAGAAUAGUCAACAAAGUAUUAAUCAAAAACAACUCGGAGUGUACUUCCACUCUAAGUAACUGCAGUUCAGUAUUAAGCAAUCAGGUGCCAACCACACCCAUGGAAGAAACUUGCUGGAUGACCACUAAAACUCACCCUGUCAACCACAAGGUGGCUUCUUUGCUCCCGCCUAUCAGCAUGCCCCCAACUGCUGCCUUCUCUUGCAACAGCCUGCCGAACUCGACAUGCGACACGGAUGCCAGCCUGACUCGAAGGAGCUCGUCGGGCGGUCUGAUGUCCCCCGAGGUGGAUGGAGGGCCGAGGACGGCUGCAGGAGCACCCACCGAACAGGAUGGCUUUUAUCUGCUCAAGAAGGACUCUCAGCGCCGCAUGACUCUGUCCAGAGUGUUAAGUCAAGAUCAGAGGAAGAUCUGCGAGGUCUGGUUGAGGAACAUCAAUCCGGACAUCGGCGAGACCGUUUUGAAUAUGGGCCAUUUAGAAGUAUUAAUGCGAGGAUUAAGGGAUUAUAUAGCUGAUCAAAAGAAGGAGGUUAUUGAGAAUGCAAUUCACUGUUUGAAAGAAGACCUGGACUUUGAUUCUGUCGCAAUCAACCAACUACACUAUGCUCUCUAUUUAUUUCAAGAUGCUCGUUUAUCGAGUGAAUCUUGAAAAGGUGAACACAGUUCUGAGGCUGCAUAGCAUAAAACCACAUUGGAUGUUCGCUUUGGACAAUCUCGUACGAACUGCUGUCCAAGCUGCAAUCACUGUUAUAUCACCUGAGCUGGGCGCCAACCUGGCUGGACAGGACACGCGCGACGGGGGCGCCGCCGGUGGGGACGGGGUGGAGGUGGGGGGCACCGCCUCUGUGCUCUCAACCGUCAACUCACUCAAAUCGCACAAGACCAGCAUCGACAGCUUUGCCAGCUCGUUGAAAAUGAGGCACGAGUAUCGCGAUCAACUUCUUUCGCUCAGAGUUGAAAAUAACAGGCUACUCCAGGAGCUAGUUGAUGGGCAUACCAUGUAUCAGACCUUAUUGAAGCAUGCUGUUGAGGAUAACAAAUCGCAGCUAACUCUUCUAAAGCAGCUAGUGGAACAGAUGAGUUUCAUAGCCAGUCUAGUUCAAAAUGAACGUGGAAACAGUGUUUCAGUGGAAUCUGACUGUUCUCGAAAUUCUCCGGAAUCAACCAAUCAAAUACCUCCUCAAAUCAAUGUAACUGACAGCUCUUCAGAUAACAAAUUGGUAGAGUGGUUACAGAAUAUUGGUCUGGAUCAACGAUCUAUUGAUAAGUUCCUGUUAGAAGAAUACUGCCUUGAAGAUAUUUUGUACUACGUAAACCGUGAAGACAUACGAAGACUCAGAUUAAGAGGUGGAGUUGAGCUACGAGUUUGGAAAGCAAUAACAAAGUGGAGAAAGGAGCAUAGACCGCCGUGUGACAUUGCCAGGCGAAAAUCCCUAUCAAUCUUAGAUCCAUCUUCCAACUGCCUUGCAAACAGAAAGACUGAGUCUGUUGAUCAAUCAUGAAAAUCGUCCAUUCAUGGAACAAACAGAAAGCUCUCUCUAUGGUUUACUAAAUAAUUGUAAGUUAUUCGCCAAUCAGUGUCUUAUUCAAUAAGCUUUAAUUUGUAUAGUGCCAUAUUCGAUCAUUUCAGUUUAUUUAACAAGUUAAGAAUAGAUAAUCCAUUAUCACUGUAUUAUAUAAUAUUCUACUGUAUAUAUACAAUAAGGCAUUUCAGUCAGAAAACGUCACUGUACUUCUAUUCAUUUAGAUACGUACUAAAAUUGUUUGAUAUAGAUUUUUUAGUUUACAUGAUGUUGUCUAAAUUUGUAUUGUUUUUCAUUAAUUUUGCAUCAAAUUAUUUUUCUAUUCAUCUUGUAUAUUUUAUAUACAGCACUUGAGCUAUAAUCUAUAGCUUUAUUAUAAAUUAAUUUCAUAUUAAUCUAAAAUUCCAACUGGAAUACAUGAGUUGGGUCUUGUCUUCCACUUUCUUUUAAAGUAUUGACUUGAAUAAUCCACCUGUGUUUUCAAAAUAUUAUCAUAUUUUUCCAAUGUGCCAAAUUUAUUUUCAUCUUUCCCUUGAAAAUAUGUGGAUCUUCAUCUGCAUGUGGUAUAUGAGUUUCCCAUUAUUCAAUUUAAUCCAUUAACAUCAUCAUUUGUUAUUUUGCAAAAAUCGUCUACUUUUCAUCAAUUCCGGUUAUUGUGAUUGAACGUUAUUAGCCUGGAUAAGCUAAAGGCUAUUUAUUAAAAAUCUUCAUACAUAGUUUGCUUAUCCUUUUAAACUGUAGAGCAUUUAUUGUUCCACUUUUUAAUCUCGUUAUUUCGGGGAAUUUUAUUGAUAUUGAUAGAAGCGGUUGUAAUAAUGUAUAAUUUGAGUAUCUCUUGUAUUACAGAUAUUUUACAGUAAGUAGCUACUGUUAUAGACUACAGGGAAUGUAGUUCGGUUUCCCUUCUCGUUUUUUUUGUUAAUUUUACUGUAUUUUUGCAAUUCACUGUAUUGAAUUUUUUGUUGUAAUUUUCAAGUUAUAAAUUUGAAACUAGGACUUUUAACAUUUAAUGUUGUAUUUCAAAAAGUGUAUAUUAAUCAAGUUUAUUAAUGUUAUUUGUUUCCUAGAUGAAUUCUAUUUAUACCAAAAUGGAGUAUUAGAUGAUUCGUUUGUUCAUGUAAUAUUAUUGAUACUGAGACGUUUGUGAAAGUAAAAUUGUUUAUGGAGUAAUAAAAUUAAAUACGAAUAAUGAA
rnacentral:misc_RNA from 1 species